rnacentral:misc_RNA from 1 species
UCUCCGUUGGUGAACCAGCGGAGGGAUCAUUACCGAGUUUACAACUCCCAAACCCAAUGUGAACCAUACCAAACUGUUGCCUCGGCGGGGUCACGCCCCGGGUGCGUCGCAGCCCCGGAACCAGGCGCCCGCCGGAGGGACCAACCAAACUCUUUCUGUAGUCCCCUCGCGGACGUUAUUUUUACAGCUCUGAGCAAAAAUUCAAAAUGAAUCAAAACUUUCAACAACGGAUCUCUUGGUUCUGGCAUCGAUGAGGAACGCAGC